CAGAAGAAGCACCGGCUAACUCCGUGCCAGCAGCCGCGGUAAUACGGAGGGUGCGAGCGUUAAUCGGAAUUACUGGGCGUAAAGCGCAUGCAGGUGGUUAGUUAAGUCAGAUGUGAAAGCCCGGGGCUCAACCUCGGAACUGCAUUUGAAACUGGCUGACUAGAGUACUGUAGAGGGGGUAGAAUUUCAGGUGUAGCGGUGAAAUGCGUAGAGAUCUGAAGGAAUACCGGUGGCGAAGGCGGCCCCCUGGACAGAUACUGACACUCAGAUGCGAAAGCGUGGGGAGCAAACAGGAUUAGAUACCCUGGUAGUCCACGCCGUAAACGAUGUCUACUUGGAGGUUGUGGCCUUGAGCCGUGGCUUUCGGAGCUAACGCGUUAAGUAGACCGCCUGGGGAGUACGGUCGCAAGAUUAAAACUCAAAUGAAUUGACGGGGGCCCGCACAAGCGGUGGAGCAUGUGGUUUAAUUCGAUGCAACGCGAAGAACCUUACCUACUCUUGACAUCCAGAGAACUUAGCAGAGAUGCUUUGGUGCCUUCGGGAACUCUGAGACAGGUGCUGCAUGGCUGUCGUCAGCUCGUGUUGUGAAAUGUUGGGUUAAGUCCCGCAACGAGCGCAACCCUUAUCCUUGUUUGCCAGCACUUCGGGUGGGAACUCCAGGGAGACUGCCGGUGAUAAACCGGAGGAAGGUGGGGACGACGUCAAGUCAUCAUGGCCCUUACGAGUAGGGCUACACACGUGCUACAAUGGCGCAUACAGAGGGCGGCCAACUUGCGAAAGUGAGCGAAUCCCAAAAAGUGCGUCGUAGUCCGGAUUGGAGUCUGCAACUCGACUCCAUGAAGUCGGAAUCGCUAGUAAUCGUGGAUCAGAAUGCCACGGUGAAUACGUUCCCGGGCCUUGUACACACCGCCCGUCACACCAUGGGAGUGGGCUGCAAAAGAAGUGGGUAGUUUAACCUUCGGGAGGACGCUCACCACUUUGUGGUUCAUGACUGGGGUGAAGUCGUAACAAGGUAGCCCUAGGGGAACCUGGGGCUG
rnacentral:rRNA from 1 species